rnacentral:lncRNA from 1 species
CCCAUUUAGGCCCAUUUUGGGGCCAUAUAAACCCAUUUAGUCCCAUUUUGGGGCCAUUUUGGGCCCAUUUUGGGGCCAUUUCCCCCCAUUUAGGGCCAUUUUGGGGCCAUUUAACCCCAUUUAGGGCCAUAUAACCCCUUUUAGGGCCAUUUUGGGGUCAAUUCCCCCCAUUUAGGGCCAUAUAACCCCUUUUAGGGCCAUUUUGGGGUCAAUUCCCCCCAUUUAAGCCCAUUUUGGGGCCAUUUCCCCCCAUUUAGGGCCAUUUUGGGCCCAUAUAAACCCAUUUUAAUCCCCUUUUCGGGCCAUUUGACCCUAUAUAUACAUACACUCCCCCCUGCGCCACGCCCCCAAAGUCUCCGGCUAAAUACGGCAAGGGGGGGGGGGGGACAGCAA